CUUUUUGCAACUGCUCUGCUGUCUACAAAAGACCAAAUUUAAUCAAACAUUUAGAUCUAAAUCAACUACUUCAUUAUGAAGGAGAUGGAAAAGUGUCUAAUACCAAAGCAUGCAGAUAUAUCUUGCUCUUUUUAUCUUUCUAUUCCUUUUGGUCAGAGGCAUAAAUUCAAAAUCACAAGGAAUGGUAUGAAUAAAAUGUAAUACCUUGUAAUUAGUAGUUAAUGUGAUCCAUUGUAAAUCACAAGUUUUCCAUGAAGAUAGUAAAUUUACUUCAUUAAGAAAAAAAAUAUGUAAAACGAUUCUUUACAUAAUCUGUUGAUAACUUGAACUUCGAUAACAGAAAGCAUAAACAUACCUUCCCAUAAGCAAGGGCAUCUGG
rnacentral:misc_RNA from 1 species